rnacentral:rRNA from 1 species
AUUGAACGCUGGCGGCAGGCCUAACACAUGCAAGUCGAACGAGUGGCGGACGGGUGAGUAAUGUCUGGGAAACUGCCUGAUGGAGGGGGAUAACUACUGGAAACGGUAGCUAAUACCGCAUACUAUCAGAUGAGCCUAGGUCUGAUUAGCUAGUUGGUGGGGUAAAGGCCUACCAAGGCGACGAUCCGUCACUGGUCUGAGAGGAUGAUCAGUCACACGGGAACGGAGACACGGUCCAGACUCCUACGGGAGGCAGCAGGGGGGAAUAUUGGACAAUGGGCGCAAGCCUGAGCCAGCCAUGCCGAGUGUGUGAAGAAGGACUUCGGAUUGUAAAGCACUUUAAGUUGGGAGGCGUUAACAACAGAAUAAGCACCGGCUAACUUCGUGCCAGCAGCCGCGGUAAUUC